AGUCCUUCGCCGUCCCUCGCCGUCCUUCGCCAUCGCACGCCACCGCACCCCAUCUCUCGAAAUCUGCAGACAUCUUGAUUUUUCCCACGCUGUCUGUCAGGUCUCCGCCGCCACUCGACGCCAGGGCGCCGGGAGUGUCACAUGACUGCCGCCCCAUGUGUGUGAGAGGCGUCCUCUGGGAGAGCAUGGAUCCUGAGGUCCCAGGAUUGUCAGCUGACCUCUGUCCUGUGUGCCCAGUGGCCCCAGGUGACGUGUCUUCAAGAAGAGGCUGAGCUGCGGUGCUUGUAAGGUCUCAGCCUUAGAUCCAAGGACAGUCCAAGGAAGUCCUAAGACCAUGGAGUUGGUGAUCUGGGAUCUGGGUUUGCUGAUAUUUCUCACCGUGAAUCUCUUGGUGGUGUUUGUGGGCACGAGAGGGGCAGAGAAUGGAGAGUGAGGCUACCACAUGAAGCGUCACCAGAGCUGCUCCCUGCUGCCUGCUCAGAGCACCCCGGAUCCACUGUUCAAUCUGCACAAGAUUCGGGGUCCAGACAUGGGAGACUUCAGCUGCCUCAGAGGACCGUGGACAGGGAAGGCCAGCCUCGCAUCCCUCUGUCCAUGCCUGGAAUGACUUUAAUAACCAAGAGUUUUAUUUUUGAAUUUGUAGCUGUCGUUCACUUUUUACCCACCCAUUCAAUAAACCUUACAGAAUUGCUCCA
rnacentral:lncRNA from 1 species